UUUUUUUCCCGGUAGAAGCGGAUGUUUCUACACAGUUUUUCUUUUUUCUUAUUUUUUCAUCUUUCUUUUCCUUGCACUUGCCCUUUUUUCAACAUUUUUUUCUACGGAGUAAUACCCCAAACUUAUCUUUUUGCACAAGUUUUACACUACAACAGUCAUGCCGAGCGAGGGUAGGAAGUGUAUGGCUAAUGGUUAACAUGAUGGUUCACACAAACAAAAGGGUAUAGGCUCAACAGGGUUAGCAACAGAUGAAAACAACAUUAUGGGUGGCUAG
rnacentral:lncRNA from 1 species